rnacentral:lncRNA from 1 species
GAGUAACUAGUUGACCACAGAGCUCUCUCUGUUCACAGUGAGAAACAUGCUUUGCCUUGGAGGGAGUCCAUCAGCUAAUAUUAACACAGAGAAGGCGAAAGUGCAGGUUGACAGGAAAGCCUGGCUCUCCCCUGACUCAAUUCAGGAGAUCAUUAAGGACGAAGUCUUGCUGUAAAGUACACCUCUCUUCCUCCGAUGACAGUGACAACCAGGGCGCUGAAUCAGGGGCAGCCUGCUCUCCUUUGACAAACACCCACCCACUUUGGUGCUGCAAACAGAGGAAGAUACCAAACAAAUUGUGACAGCCACAGGAAAUGAUUCUACAGGAGAGACAGCAUCACAGUGAGUUCUGUCCUCUACUUUAGGAUGUUUUUGUAUCUUCAGGAUGCUUUAAAUAGCUCUGAGUGGACCCUUUGUAGCACAUAUCUGAUCCUGGCUGGCCACUUUCCAUUUGGCCCGAUAGAAUCCAACCUCAGCAUUCACAAAUGGAUAGGCAGACAUGAGGGUUAUCACUUUCUGGACAAUGGCUCAUGACACGGUGACCUGAAUGUCAUUAUAUUAUACUGUCACCUCAGAGGAAGGCUACCCUUAGGGUACUUUCCGUUUAGAAAAUUGAAAAGAUUAUAAAAAGGAGGGAUAAUAACUCAGGUUCUGAUAUGAGCUCACUGGAGUUUGAGGU